ensembl:lncRNA
GGUCAGAAGCUGGCAUUUCAGAGAAGUGAAUUUUAGUUCUUCGCUGGAAUUCAGCAUCUUUCCUCCUCCAAAAAAUAGAAGUUGCUUAAUGCUGUGUUGGUAGGAGAGUCGGUCAGUACCUGAUACAGUAUGUUUGUAGUUUAAAUUCACUACUUUUUAUAUCCAAACAAAAAUUUCCUCAUGUUAAUAAUGGGUGUAAGACAGGACAUUGCUAGUUUUCCAGGUGAUGAGGAUUAAUCAUUAGCCAAUUGCAUUUUGCACACAAAUGGUUUGUUUUCUUGUCCAUGCUGCCCUUCUCGUACAAAAUCAAAGGGUUAAUUUGCUACUGGGAACUGCAGGCCUGAAUGCUGUUGAGCAGCAGAAUAGCCUAAGAUGUCAUCUCUGACUGUGAGCAAGGUUGACUCAGAGGCCCUUGUAUAAGUCUAACUCAGAUUAGAAUGAAAUAGAACAGUAGCAACAACACUGUUCCCCUCAAAACCAAACAAAAACCAAAUCAGCCUACUCCCACCUCUAGAAACAUGUAUGUGUUGUGGUCAUCAUUAGCAGAAACCACAUGAACAAGAAAUAUUUGUAACAGCAGUGCAAAGAUAGUAUGAAUUAGUUUUCCUUCUCUGAUUGUCUUAAAGAUUUCCUCCAACUUUUCAAAACUUCAGAGGGGCCACAGUGUUGAAAAAUGCACACUGAAGAUUCAGGGGAAGCUGUAAAGCUCGAAAGUCUUGAAUUCCUUGCAGCAGAUGCUUUUUCUGUGUUCUGCUCCCUUUUACUCCAAUUCCCCUACACAAAUUGAGCUUUGAAGCCAGAAGUGAUGCGUAAGGAGACGGUUAUGUCUUUUUUGGAGAAAAAAGUCCAAGGGUAGCAUGCAUGAAUUCCUUCCAGAGUUGGACAGGCUUGCUUCAACAAUUUGUGAUGUUUAAAAGCCAUUAAAUUACUUAGCCAUCUGCUGUUAAUAAUGGGAAACUUCUGAUAGAGCUAAGGUCUGAACAAUGGGAAUGAAUUGUUGAUUGUCCUUAAAGUGCAGUAGGCUUUGUUGUAAUCAUGAAACUGCAGUCUAUAAAUAUUUUAAGUAUCUUAAAAGUGUAUUUCUAACUCUCCCUUCUGUGGGCUUCAGAAUGCAGCACUCGUGUAAAUGAAAUGCAAUGUGAGAGGAUCUGAUUUAAUCCCUACUGGCUUCAACGUGCCUACUGAGUUUGGAGGUAAAUCAGCCAUAGGCCACCUAGGGUUUAUUGUAACAAAUGUGAGCACAGGGACCCAGGUUCACAUCCGGAGUUCAGAUGAGAACAUUUUAGGCUUGCCUGGAGUGGGAAUGUGGAAGAAGCAGGGAGAAACUAUAGCUGCUCUUGUCAUUUUAUGGAAGUCUUUUUAGUUUACUAGGCACAGUAAGUUUUGCUGACUGAUGUGGUUUCCAAAAGUGUUUCCCUGCUAGACUGCUUCUGAUUAAUAAAAUAUAUGAAAGCAAAGGAAAAAAGAUUCUUUCCUAGCCUUUUUUUCCUGGUACUUAUGACUAAUUUACAUUUUUAGCAUCCUUGAAUGCUACAGACCUUAGAUGCUUAGAUCCUUAAGAUGUUUACCAUCCUUAGAUGCUUAGAUCUGCAUGGUCUUUCUCUCAGCCAUGCUGGAAUUGUUCUGCUUGCAUUUUAAGUUGUUCAGAUGCUGACAUGCCCUGUACUGAAAACUCUGUAAUUGCAUUAGCACAAGGCUUUGUCCAACCUAGUAAUCCUUGGUGAGCAGCAGCGGAGUGCUACAGUAAUACAGUGCAAUCACUUCUUGAUUGGAGAUGGUGAGGAUCUGAGUGAUUCGAAGGACUAGCUGUUGCCAAGAGGCAGUAGAUGACAAUACUGGGAUUCUAAUGUGACAUAUAGAAAUAUUUCAAAAACAAAAGAAUGCCUUUUUAAUGCGUAGUUGGUACCAAGUCAAAUCUGGAAGACCUUUGACUGUGUUUUGUUUGCAAAAAGACAGAACAAAUACCCAGUGCCACUAAUAAACUAAACCUGAGAAGUCUCCCAUGUCAGUGGUUCUUUAAUAGAAGACUUCACCAUUUACUUCCCUUCUGUUUUCCAGGCUAGAAGCAACGCUAGAAAUCAUGUUAACAGGAGUGGCACGUAGCUGACCUGCAUGGUAUUCACCAAUAGGCAGGAGCACAUUCUCCCCCAAGUUAAUAAUUUCUUAUCCCUUGGAUGACUCUGUAAAUACAUGUGCAGUACAGCUGGAGCUACAGAAGUACUAAAACAGUUUACAGUGAUGUUGGACAGUUAAUACACGGACAAAUGCAGUGGAUAUCAGACACAAGAUCAUUCCCACGUCCAGCUGACAGCUUAGUGCCAGAAAUGCAGUGCUACUCAAUAGACUUUGGUGGACUUCUGCAGGCGCUGCUAAACCUGAUGGAGAUGGAGUGCACAGCAGACUGGUGUUGGCAUAGCUAAGUUCUAAGCAAGGAAACGGGCUUCUUGGAAACAGUGCUGAGGUAGUGAUGUCCGGUUUUCCCAGUUCUAACAGCUCCCAAGGUUUGCAGAUGCCUUCUGUAUUGGAUAUCGGGGUUGAACGUGCCUGUGCUACUAGGUUUUCUGUAAUGGCUUGUACUUGGAGAAUCUCUUUCAAAAUCGGUGAGCAGGGUGCUCUUGUGCUGGACUAUGAGGAGUAACUUUCUACGAGUUUUGGAACUGUGCUGAUAUGGCACUUGGCAAGCUUUACCUGGGAGCAUCUCGUGCAGAGAACAUGAAGAGCAUAUCAGAGGUUAGAGGAUAAAGAAAAGCAGAAAUAUUUGCUCUUCUCCAGAUGCCUGUGACUCACAUGCACUACACUUCAUGGAGGAUGAGACAGGAGAAUAGCCAAAGGAAGUCGAUGAGGAUGGCUGUACUGGCGAGGAACUAAGGAGCUGACAUUACUUCAUCUGAAGAGAAAAGAAGACAAAGGUUAUUCAAAUCCACACUUAAUCUAACACUGGAAGCAGUUCCAGCAGCAGCAGCACCUUGAGGAGGACAUCGGGAGGAGGUCAGAGAGUGCUCAAACAUAAGAUUGAAGUCUGCCAAACAUGAUGUCCACCAAAUUUUUACUGCUAAAAAGUUGAGGUCACCCAAUGAGAAAUACAGAGACAGUAAGAUGAUCAAAAUACCUCAGGAGAAGAAUGAAUGAACAAUUUGAAAAAAAAAAAAAAAGAGAGAAAAGCACUGUGCACUCCAACAACAGCAUCUUAAGUGCAAAACAUCAUUGUACAGAACUUUAUUACGAAGUGAUAAAUCAGCACGCUGAGGCUUCAUUAACUUCAGUGGAACCAGACUGAUUUAUGCCAGCUGAGUCAAUGGCUGCGUUUAUAUGUCUGCAUACGUCAAAAUUAAUCAUGUUUGGAAAAAUAGAAGAUUCUAGGAAUAUAUCCCAGAGGAGAAGAUAUAUAUACUUAUUUAUAAAUUCUACUAAUAAGGUGAUACUUAGCAGGCCUUUCUACAGGACUCUGAGUGACACAGUUGUCCUGAGGUGGACUUCUGCCCUCCUGCAUGGCAAGAAACAGAUAUGCACGUCCUCUGUCAGCACUCUCCAUCUCCAGCAUUCAGACUCCUGCAACCUUCCCGCUGGUCCACAUCCUCACGCAGUCUUCCCAGUAAGGGGAAGAGAGCUGUAGGGAAUAGAAUAACCAUGGUUACUCCUACAUCGUCAGAAUUGGAAAGUAAUGUUAUCCAUGGGCUGAAGGAAGCUCAACCCUGCAGUCCAUUCUUCAAGCUCCUUCCCUACAAAUGCAGUGGGAGAGAUGUCAUUUGGGUGCCAAUGAGUUGUGUGCAUCAUAAAGGUGAUCACGUACCGAUUUCUUUUGGGAUCCACUCUAAAGAAAUGAAAGCUCAUUUUUUUCAGUUCAGAGCAUUUGCCAGUAGAUGGUGUGAGGAAUUUCUCCAAUCGCAGUGACACCAAAUGGUGCUGACAUCUGAAAAAAAAGCAGUGUUUUAUGACAGUAGCAAGAAUUACUUCUCCUUGUGAAUCUAUAUUCUGUCAUAGAGUUUACAAUUGCACUUGCUGAAAUGCUGUCAUUUUCAUUUAAACUAAAGGUCCUCUGCAGCAGGCAGCUCCACAAAGGGUCUCACCUCGUCAACAGCCAUUUCUUAGGAGUGUGAGAUUAGCAGAGCGGCAGCUGAAACAAAAGCUACCUGUUAAACACACUGAGGGUCAGCUACAGGAGGAUGAUGCUAGAUGCUUCAAAAACAAGGCCUCAAGGUACACAGAAUAGAUGCAGAUUAUUAUUAGGAGUGACUGCAGCCCCGGUUUUCCUAAACCUCAGCUCUAGUGUCUAAAUCUGUCUUCCCAUUCCCCUUGUAAGAUAGCCAGAGCUGCUGGACUUUCCAACUAUUCAGAAGACUUUCAAACAUUACCUCUUCAUGAACACCUGAAAAUGCAAUACCUACAGGUAGCAGGCUUGGUUUUUCAGGUUGUGCAGCAUUUGGGAACUCUCUCUUGUUUCUGGGAUUACUAGUAGUUCAGAACUAAAUCAAGCUUCUGAUUUAAGUUUCUGAUGGUUAGGGUGAACGUGAAUGACUUUACACAACUUUAAUGGAAGAUAAACAGCAAAAUGACCCAGUUUGACACAAGAAAUGAAUUGAAGUUUAAAAUGAAUCAGUUUCCAAAAGUUUUAUCAUGGAAUUUCUCUUUGUUACUGUUCCUGUAUUUGAGAGAAAUGUGGCACACAUAGAAGACUAGCAGCUAUUUUGGUCAGCAGUGCUUGAAAAAAAACCCAUCUACUUUCACAGUUUUAUUAGAAAUGGUAUCCUGAGAGACUGGAUUUGUAUUCUAUGUUUUUUUUUAGGCAAGGCUGCACUAUACCUGCAGUUUUGCUGGCAGAAUUUGCAUCAUUAAUUUAUGCAAACCAAAGGCAGUGAGGAAUCCAGAAACCAUUUUAAAAUGUGUGUAAGUCAGACAUUUAGAACUGAAACAUCCACAUUCUUUCUAUAGCCUAUUGCUGUGUGACUUCUUUUCAGUUCCUUCUUGAGUGUGCCAGUAAUCUUUUCUUCUCUUUGGUAAGCCAGAGUAACCCAGUAUAUGAAAAAGUGCUUUGAAACAUCUGCUCUGAAUUUGUUUUUUAAUUAAUUAACAAGUAAAUGCUUUUCUGGUUGUGGUGAAUUAUGGCAACUUGUGUUAACAUCAUUUACCGUGUUAAAAAAUGUAAAGACUUCGAUUAUAGCAUGAUCUUUCUCCUCAGAUAAUUUUGAGAUGAUGUAGUUUCAAUCUCUGUAGUUUCUCCUCAUUUUUAUAUGUUUUUAAUAUGAGAUUCCAGUUUAUUAACAGCUGCAUCACUUUACAGUGCUAACAGAUGCUAUUAUACAACCAGGCUAUGAGAACAGACUUCAGCACGCAGGUUUCAAUUUCCUUACCCUUAGUAACAGGGCUGCAGAAACCAAGGAGAUGUACUCCCCUCCUUCUUUCAGUAUCUAAUACUUUAAUACUUGGCACUUAAUCUUUAUUACAGACACCAGUAAAGCAGAUGAGCAAAGUUAUUGUAAAGUCUUUUCAUACAGGAUUUAUCUUCUCUCCUUCACGUCUGCAGUCUGUCAUACAUCAAUUUGUGGUCAUAAGGUACAAAAUAACAGUUUUUUACUGAAAGAAAAUAAAAUUCUUGGCUUGGUUCAGAGCAGGGUUCCAGGAUAGCUCGUUGGGUAGUAGGCUACAGGCAUUCUGCCUCUGACAGGGCUUUGCUUUGCCUUCUCGGCAUAUUCAGAGAGGUGCUAUGUGGCAGGGAAGUGUUCAGAAUGAGGGACUGGGCCUCUACCACCUGCGGUGACGUUGGGCCACUUGGGACAAAGGACUGAUCAGCAAGCACAGCAUCCAGUUCUCUUACCUGGCAGCCAAGCCCAGGGAGCACCAGCUCCAUUUGUGCUGCUGAAUGCAUUUAGCUAUUCAUUAAUUUUUCGAUUACUACAGAUGAGCACACGAGCUCUUCUUCCUCCUCAUUCCUUCACCCUCCUUGUCCCAGAAUGGCUUUUAGCUGCAAUGCCUGGAACUCAGACAAGCAGUGUCGCAUCUUUUCUUGCAGGAGAAGAGAACAAAGAUUUAUAGUGUGAGCUAUGAAAUGAUGAACGAGGGGGAAGUGAUUCCUCCUCCUGCUAUCUGGGGAAAUCUAAUCUUGCAUUUUAGACUUGGAGAGCAGUCAGUUUUUUCCAGAUCAAAUAAAAUAUUUUGUGUAGGAAUGACCUUUUUGUUUAAGCAAGGAAAAUGGAAGAAAUAUAUUUGUUUCAGACUGAACUGAUUUAGAUUUUGGUUCAUUUUUUGAUAUAACAUCGUGGUAUUGAGGAUAAAAUAUUGAGCAGUGCCGUGAAGAAGGUUAUGCUGUAGUUACCAUUCAUGGCCAAUAUACUUAAGCUGGUAACAAAUGCUAUGCAAAAUGAUAUAGUAGGAACACAUUACUAUGCUUGUAAAAUAAUUUAUGUUUCUCCUUUUUUGCUGACUACUGCCUUCUCUCACACAAAAUCACAGAAUCACAAAAUAUCCCAAGCUGGAAGGGACCCAGAAGAAUCACUGAGUCCAACUCUGGCUCCACACAGGACCACCCAAACCCAAUGUCUCAGAGCAGUGCCCAAACGCGCCCUGAGCUCCAGCAGCCUGUUCCAUGCCCACUGCCCUCUGGUGCAGAGCCGUUACCCCAAACCAACCUGACCCUCCACUGAGGCGGCUCCAUGCCAUUCUCUCAGGUCGUGUCACCGUUACCGGAGAGCAGAGCUCAGUGCUGCCCCUCGGCUCGCAGUGAGGAGCUGUGGGAUGACAUGAGAGAGCUUUUCUCUGGGCUGAACAAACCAAGGGACCUCAGCUGCUCCCCUCCACCCCUUGCCCUCCUCAGCAGCACGAGUUAUGAAAAGGAGGCAUGGAUUACAUCUUACAGGUAAGAUGAAAAGAAAAGUAUGUAUGAGUACAAUUCCAGAGUCUGUGACUAUUAGGAUAAGAAACCAAAUAAAAAAGAAUCUACAUCUCCAGACUCUAUUCCUGGAUUAACUGUAGAUGCAAUUUACAGGAGUUCUUCCAAUCAUCCCUCACUUUGUCUUGCUUCCACUCAAGUUCAUUGUCCUAAAAGAUCUGGCUUGUUAGGAAACAAAAACUAUGUUGUUUCAACUGCUAUGUGAUGAGUCACAAUGAGUGGUAGAGAUCUUUAGAAAUGAUCGGAAUCCUUAAUUCCAACUGAGCUCAUGGCUGCUAUGGAAAAGCAGACCCUGUAUGCGCUUAGAAGAGAAAGUAAAAUACUCUCUUAAAAGAGAAAGUACAGUCUUUUCCUACAUUGAGGAACUUGCUUUUUCUCAAGCGUUGGCGUACAUUUGAUGAUUCAGGUCAAUGCAACCUUUCCUACAUCUUUCCUACUUAAAAGAAGCCCUUUAGAACAGCAGGCUUUUUUUUUUUUUCUUCCUGAAAAAGUAACUAUCUUUGUUCCGCACAUGUUUCCACAGCCAACACUGCUGCACCAGACCUGAUAGAAAAUUGUUCAUAGUUCAGCGAGAAGCCGUUUAAAAGUCAGUCCUGGCUCCCCAGAUGCUAUAAACAUCCAUUUUGAUCAGUUAGAAAACCUGGUUGCUUUUAGUAAAAGCACAAGCAGGGAUGAUUUUGUUUUGAUUGUUUAACGCUGUUGAUGUUGCAAAUAGGUAUGUCAGCAUUUGAAAGAUGGUCCUAAGGCACUCGAUUUUUUAAUAGCAAGCAGAAUUCUCAUUAACAGGCAAUUUUAAAAAGCAAUAACAUUCAUUUUUUGGACUAUUAAGCAUAUAGAGUGUUUAUAUUUCCAGCAAAGAAUGAACUAAUGGAAAAUAAAAUUCUGUCAUGCACUAGUGCCACAACAUUGCAACAUAAUGUAUGUGAGGCUGAUUACAUUUCAGCCUUUCAGCGGGAUUAUACAUGAUCAAAGCUUCUGGAGUGAGAACUAUGUAACUUAAAUGAUUGAAAACAAUUUUAAUGUUUAAGUUAGUCUUCUCUCUUCUUUGAAAUAAAAGCUCGCCUCUUGUUAAUGAUGUGUUAAACUAAGAAACAACUGUCAGUGUAUGUACUUUCCUAAUGACGGGCAGAUACGUACAGUGUCAUAUCCGUUUGAUGUACAGUCUGUGCAGGUGCAUGGUACUGCUAGAGUUUACCCUAUCUGCCUAAAAAUACCUGCCCUUUCUGCUGCUUAAGUAGCAGAACAGUGCCAGUUCAAAGAAUGGCAAAAUGAGAUUCUUCCAUGUGUAUUGCCAUGCAGGCGUGACAAAACUACCCAAGCCCCUUUAGAAGGCUGCACUACCAGCAAAAGUGGGGAUCCACUCUUCUGCAGGGACUUGACCUUCCAUCCUCACCUUCCACUAACCUGUAAGCUCUCUGGAAGUGUGAUGAUUCGCUUCGGAAGGCCGAGGCUGUGACAUGGCUGCCCAUCAUGGCCAGCAUGUCUUGGACCGUCAGGCAUGCUUCCCAUGGGACUCCAUCAGUUGUUACCAUAAUGAUUUUAUGGAACUGAAGUUUCUUCUGAAUUUUUAUGUCCAUUGGCACUAUGCCAACGUUAAGCAAAAUUCUGGAUUUUCAGAUAAAGUAGCAAUGAGAGCUAAUGCUGAACCUUCUGUUUGUUAAUCUGCACCUAAAAAAAAAAGAUCCAGGAAAUCAAGAUAUGGAACGUGUGAAAAUAAAAUCUCAUUCUCAUGCUUUUCUUGGAAGUUGGAAUCAAAAUCUAGUAAAUUUCUGGUGCCUAACGCUGGUUAAUGCUCUGAACAAAACCAGGGCUGCUUCAUAAGGGUCAGAAAUGUUCUUUUCCCUACAAAGACCAUCAGUAUGACAGUGCUCAGAUAGUCUCUGUUCCACCACGCUGCAGCACAACCAGCUGAUGUGGCCUAAGGCAGACAUAGCAUCAAACUGCAGAAUAAAUCUGUUUGCAGCGUAAUUAACAGCCUGAUCGCAUACAGGAAGAAUGUAAGUACCUUUCUUGAAGAGACAAUACUGUUGUCAGGAAAAUUUGAAAAACAAAAUCAAUGGAGGCGAUAGACAUGAAAAAAUAGCGUCCCUUCUCUCCUCUUUUCCCUUCCGUGUUUUCCCCUCCAAUUCCAUCCACCAUUUUGAUGGAAAAAAAUUCCAAAGCAUUACGGUAUUAAUAUCAAUUAAUCUGGUUGUCAGAUCCUUUUCUUUUUUGAGAAAGUUAAUGGUACCUCCCAAAUUUAAAAAAAACAAAACAAUUUCAUGGUAUGCGUUGUUACCCAAAAAAGAUAUGAUUUGCACAACACUUUCCCCAUGUAUUUUCCUGGCUUCCAGAUCUUUUUCUUUGAAAAUCAUUAUGGAAAGUGUCGAACUGGCAACUUCUGACAUUGAUAUGUUGCAAAACGCCUCCACAGCAUAUUCGAGCUCUGCGUAACCUUCCAACGUAUUGAUAUGCAUCAGCUAGAAACAGUAAACUUUGUCGUAUUCUUGUGUUUUCCUAGUGAGACUGCCUUGAGGCAACUUACAGCACUGCUGUGAACAUAUGAAAUCCUUCUUCCACUGAAAAGUCAGCUUGCCACUGGAUUUAAUGGAGCCAAGACAUUAGAUUUAUUCAGUGGAGGUAGAUAUGGCUUAGAUAACCAAUGGUGUAAAAAUCAGUGAGUCAACAAAUGUUUGGUGUGUUUAUGAAAUUAGAUAGAGAAACGAAUGCCCCUAUUGAUAAAAUACAUAAGAAUUGUCCCUCGCUAUUGAACAGCAACAUAAAAUGUACGUAUGAGGAAGCUCCCAAAUCCAAAGUAACAUUAGUCACCUCUCCAGCCCUUGCAACAACAUACAUUUGUGGCUGCAUUUAAAAUUGUUCUCAUUUCUUUUUCUGAAGGCCUCCAAGAUCCUGAUUAUGCUGUUUGAUGAUUCUACAUAAAAUAAACAUUUCUAGCCCAAGACAGACAGCAGCAUUGAAAAGCCCUUAGUUUUUUUUUUCCAGGUAAUCUUCAGGUAAGCAUGUGGUUAAAACUUAUUUUGUGUCCCUUUAAAAAUUUCUUGUUAGUGAACUGAUGAAACUCUUGUUUGGUUCAUUCCUACUUAGAAGUAGUGCUAGUUUUAGGUCACUGAUUGUUUAGAAAUUGGUAAUGGGGAAGAAGAACGCAAUACUCUCUCCUUCCAUCUGCCAGUUGACCUAUUGGUGUUGUUUUUCUUGUUUUAAAUAUUCAGCUGGGUCCACAGAUCUGCCUGAAAACUAUAGCAAGACCAGGGCUCUUAUUUGGGGGACUAACAUCAGGCAAAUACGUUUUAGGAAAGAUUUGUGAUUGAACUGCUACAGAAAUUUGUUCCUACUCCUAUUAAUACCAAAUCACACUCUAGAACUGUUCACUGACCUUAACUGCAUUAACAGUGACUUCUGUUUUUAUGCAAAUUUGAAAGAACAAAACCCUAACAACUGAGGAUGCAUAAAUCCACCUUCCCCACACUCUAGCUCUGCUUCUAAUCUUAUUAUUACCAUAUAUAUUAAUAAUAUUAUAUAUCUAUAAAAAAUAUAUUAUAUUUAUGUUAUUAUUUACCAUAUGAAGAGGAUGGAAAGAAACCAGACUUAGGUUUCUUUUUAGGUUUAGAUUUUAUACAGGAACAUCAGCUCCUAGAAACCUUGUCAUAGAUGCCCAUGAACUCAAGAACUCAAGAGACAUCUCUGUUUUAGUUGUGCUGAUUUUCUUGUCCAAACUGAAAUAAAACACUGCUCCCGACCAUGUAAUAGAAACUAGCUAAAGUCUGCCCUGUGUGUUCCAUUUUCUCAUUUUGAUGCCUUGUGUUUGAAUGCCUUUCUGCUAAAGCAUCUGUCACUUUCCACUGGUCAUCAGCAUUUUUAGCUGUAAAAAAAAAAAAGGGAAAGAAACUUAUUAGAUGAUAGAUUCCGGACAUUCAUUGGGAAUGAUGUAUUCAGUGGUAGAACAUUUCCCUUCCAUAUUCUUGUCUCCCCGAGCUGCUCUUCAGCACACUGUGACCAUUACAUGGCACUGUAUUUCCCAGAGUUUACCAGGAAUUUGACAGACUGAGUGGUUGUGUGUUUUUAUGGUAACAAAAGGUAUUAGAAAUAUCACUACUGAAAAAGCUGCACUGGAAACCUGUGGAUGUUCCUUAUGGACGUUCCAGUUGACCUGUUUUAAUUCCCAACAUGGUUACAAUUAUUUUAGGAGAGAAAACAUCACACACAUCUAAUUAUUUGGAUCAUUUUCUGCUUUGGACAGAUUGCAACAAUCUUACACAAGCACUGGCACAAAGCAUUAGGGCAGUCUGGUUUUUGACCCACAUCUGAUCAUUUUGCAGUACACGCAACUGUGCUUCCAGUGGUAGAUUCCCCCAUGCAAAGUUCCUAAAUGUGGUAAAUAAAGCCAUCUGUUGUGGAAGCUGGGUUUGAAAAUUACAUGCCCCGUUAACCACUGUUCUGCAUAUGGAGCUAUUCAUGUCUUAUACAUAAGAAUGCCUUUCUGAAAGCAGUUUCGUUCACCUCAUUUUGCAUAUUUCUGGGCCAUCUCCCAGAUAUCUUCCUUCUUACAUUAACUUGUGUCAGACUGACGUCAUUUUUCUCAUGGUCGAUAAUUUUUGGAGGAAUGGUGUAGUAUUUUCCAUCCCAGUGUCUCGCUCUGUUAGUCUAGGCAAAGUCUUCUUGGUUCUUGGUGACCCUGGGAUUAUGAAUUCCACCAGUCAUAUGAUUUGCAAUUUCACAAAGUGAAACCAGUGGAAUGGUAAUGUGGGUAAGACUUCACUGUAAACAUACGUGCAUUUCAAUGAUGUCUGUAUUUUGCCAAUUUAAAAGACAUUGUCUUUUAAACCAGAACCAGAACCAGACCACCCGUUACAAACUAGUUUUCAGCAUCCCGUUAUGACUGCUCUCAUCAUCUGCUUUGAUGGCUUUAAAAUACCAGGAUCUGUAGAGGCAGAGGAGCCCUGCAGAUCAUCCGGGUAGUCUUUUAGUAAAGCAUCUGCUUCUGUGUUUACCCUUGGUUCCUGUGUUUGAAGAAUCCAACACCCUAAUUGAGGCUGGAAAGCCUGAUUGAUGAUUUUUUUAAUAGCUGUUAUUCUCAUAAGGCACAUCAUCCAGGAACAGCCGGAAGAUAAAGAGUUGAAUACUCCACAGUUUAUUGGAGCUUGUUUUGAUGGCCUUUUGUCCUUGUUAAAAAGUCUGUGCUUGCCAUCUAUGGUUACUUCAAACCUUCCUUUUCUGUCAUAUCUAUUAAUGAAUAUACAGUUUUAUGAAGAAAAUUAGAAAACUGGAAUACCUACAAGAAAUACUGAACAAAUGGACUGGAAGAAAUCUGAGGGAAGUCUUGGUUAUUUCUGAAUCUCAGAAGUGCCAGGAACUGAACAAGAACUUUUCAUUUGAGUCGUGAACCAAGUAAACAUUUCUAAAUUUUUUGGCCACUUGAAUUUAAAAGAUAUCAACUGGUAUCUUUAAUGUGGAAUAGUUUAAAGAGCAGCUGUGCUCACUGUCUCCUAACUAGAUGAUUAUUUGAGAAGGAAAAACAUAUUUUUUGUUAUGUUCUGAAAAAUAGUCCAAAGUAAUCAUUUCCGUGAGGGUAGAUGAAAAAAAAAAAAAUCAGUGCCUCUAUAGAAAAUGCAACCAAAUAUUCUGAUUACGUAGAUAUAAAAAAGCAGUUGAAAUGCUGACAUAGAAUAACGGCUAAAUCCUUUUCCAGAUCCAUUUUAAAAUUAUUUUUCUUAUUCUUUUUCUCUGUAAUGUUGCUUUUUUUUCCUAAAGGCUUAAUCCUGCUACUUUUAAAAUGGUACAUUACCCACAAGAUCAAAUGAGAUCCUGAGGGAAGUAUUCAAAGAGAAGGAAAAUGGGCAUGUUUAUAAUUCUUCCCGUUUGGCAAUUAGCUCAAAUGCCUAAAUUAAAAGAAUAGCUUCCCUCGGUUUACCAGAUGAUUAAUAGAGAACAUUCCAGUAGGCAAUUUGAAAUGCUAACCUAAGUUCUUGCUAUUAGUGUUCUUUUGGAACUCCUGCAUAUUUUUCCCUUGGACUGAGAAACGAGCUUACUUAAAUUAUUUAAAUUUAAGUGAUGUUAACAGCCCUGAAAAGUGCUGGUGGUCUUCUGUACCAAUAAAUUCCAACUGAUAACAAACAAAAGACCAUUAUGCCAUAAGGACAGCCGAUCUCGAACUGCUCAGAAUUUCCUUUGCAGGGCCUUGGCAAAUAAACUAGUUCUAAGUGGGUAUAACCAAAUGCAAUCAUUUCUAGGAAUGUAGCAUGGUAAAAAAAUAAACACUAAAAGUCUAUAUAAUGAAUAUUUUCUAAUUAAUUACCGCAGUCUUCAUUCUGUGUUGUUCUUGUUUGUUUUUAAUAUAAUUUUUGUACCAGUUUUUAUUAAUGAGUAAUCUACCCCGUGUAUGAGAGACUGCAGGAGUCUCAUUUUCACAGAGCUGAGAUGGUCUACGUUUAGUUAGAUUGCCUGUACACUUGCAUCAGGAUACCACUUACUUAGGCUUUCAUUUCUGUACACAUUUAAGAUAUUUCUUUUCAUUUUUCCAGUGUUCUCCUUUUCCCCUGUAGCAGGCUGCAGCAUUCAUCUCAACUUCUGCUUCGUGGUAAACGUGCUGCAAAAACGGCACAGUGACACAGAAAACAAAAUGAAUAAAUCAUUUAUUAAGAUUUACAAGGAUGAGCUCAUAGAAAUCCAGCUUCAAUCCCUGUUAAACCAGUUUUCUAAAUGCCACGGACAGAGUCAUAAAGCAAAUUUUCUAGCAGCAAAUUACUAAAAUAACCAUUUAGUUUCCACUAUAGGACAGUAAUCAACAUUUUGUUGCUUCUUGAUAUAUUUUCUACCACACUGCAGCCACGAUCAAAGAUCUAAAACUCCUAGGUGAAAUUGCAAGCAAACACUAAUUAGCUUCCAGGUGAGCGCUGAUCAGUUUGUAGGAUUGCUUGCAGCUGGGCACACUCUGGAUCUUGGAAACAGCGUAGAACAGCAAACAGGCUGAGAUGUUUGAGAGAAAGGUCAUCUGUCUGAGCUUUUUCACUUCUGCCUUAGUUUUCUGUUUUCUUGGCAAGGUGCUGAAAACUUCCAAAACGUUUUGAAAGUUCAUCAUUUCCCAUUUGCUGUUUCUGCUUUGGAUAGAUAUGUGAAAAUCCUGGAAAACUCAGCGAAAGUAUUAAAAAAAGAACAACCACGUGACAUGAAACAUUCAAGCAGACAGAGCCAACUCUUGUCUACAGAUCUGCUGGAUGUUCACAGAUGUUUAUUUCAGAUUAUUGGGACUCUGUUAUUUCCAGCAUAGCUGUGCUUUUGUCCUUGGAAUUUCCUAACAUCUUAAAAACUGCUCUGUUUCUCACUUCAGCCACCACUUUAAGGCUUCUUGUCUCUCACCCCUCAGGCAAGACCUAGUUUUGCAUAGUUUACACACUCUUACAAUUCAGAAGCUUUCUAGAUGAUAUCCCAUCAGGCUGUCUAGCUCUUUUAUUGUAAACAUAGCUUGUUACUAUUGAAUGCAAAGAUCAACAGAAGCUGAUAGCAAUGAAUGAUUAUCACUAAUUCACUUUGGAAAAUAUGUUCCACAAGAAGAGUUGUCAUGAUAAAAAAAACCCCGAAACUGCUAUGGAUGUUAAGAGUAAGAAUACAGACAAAUGAAUAAGAAUUAGAGAAAUAAAUAAAAAAAAAUGAUAAAAGGAGAAAGCAGAUUGUUUCUUUGUAUAAUCACGAUCCUUUUGAUUGAUUGACAUGAAGGCCAUGGCUCACUUGACCUGAUUUUAUGUGUAAAGCUUACUAAAAUGAAAAUAAAAUAAAAUAAA